rnacentral:rRNA from 1 species
AUGGAGGAGGAGAUCAAUGUCUUCUGCAGCAUGACUGAGGCGGUGAAGGAGGUGGCAACAACCAUCAGGGAGUGCAAGCCCCUCGACGUCCACCCUGACCUGUAUGGCGUUGUCAUGACCCAUGGUGGCUUCAGCGACGAGGCUCUCAUGGCAGCUCUCAGCCACCUGCUUGACAACAAGGCCCAGGGUGUUGGGUUUGUUGCCAUGGCCGACGCUCACUGGGGCAAGUGGUAUGCCGUGUUCAUUGAUGAGGUUCCAGGGGUUUAUAGUUCAUGGGAAGAAGCCAAUGCACAAGUGGCAUCGUAUAGCAACAGCAACUAUAGAGGGUUCAAGACUAAGCAGGCAACAGAACAAGCUUACUCCGCCUGGGUGCGAAAGCACGGAGGCAGUAGUGUCGACAAUGCCAAGGUUGGAGUUGUCAAAGUGGAAGUUGCUAAGGUGGAUCGUCAAUUCGGCCUGAAGCUGAAGAACUUCAUCAUCUUCGCCCAGUUCGUCACCAUUGCUGUGUUGUGGCGUUGGUGUGCUAGGUGUGAUCAUUGUGGGUAA